GGGGGAAGAGCGCGUCCACACUUCAUGGGAUCGACAAGCAGAUUGGGCAGAGGCAAAAGCCACCAAAAUAACCUGUUGUGGAUCAAGAACAGCCCUGCGAAAUACAAAAAAGUUUCGGGAUUUCCAGAGGUGCCAAAGGAUAUGUGCCAGGGUUUCCAAAUCAGGUUUACCAUUGUUCAUGGAGCUUGGGGUCUCCAUCUGCACUGCUUAUCAGUAUAGUAAGUGACAUGGUGGAUCUAUGAUUGCUAUCGGAUGCAAUCUGUAGUCAUUGAACUAAAAUGAUUUUGCCGUAACUUUUGUUAGGUGAAAGAUUCAAAACUUAUGUCCAAUUAUGGAUCUUUUCAAUAAAUCCUCAUAUGAUAAUGUAUGUAUAGACGGAGAGGGCAUUUGGCAGUGUUUUUUUUUUCCCCUUUUAUAGCAAUUUGCUUUGGCGAUUGGAUGCUAAGUUUUGAUUUUACUCAUCGAGUGUUGAUGUAUGAAAAUUAAGAUGAAGGUAAAUA